rnacentral:lncRNA from 1 species
GUAGUAGAAGGGGCACGGACUGCUGAGGAAAGUCUAGCUCACAGAGAAACCUGGUAGACAUCAAUGUGUCUACUGAUGAGGGGCCUUCCACCUUGGUUCAAGUCAUCGUGGAAACCACAAAUUUCCUUGGAGGAUUUACACCCAUCGAGAUCUAAGUCUGGCUCCAGGUGUGGGGACAAAUUUGAUUGAAGCCCAUUGACAGAUGCUAACAAUAUCAGUACCAGUUAAAGCCAACACUCGGAACAGCAGUGACAAUAAAAGCGCUCAACCGACUGCGAGCACCCUGCCAGAGAUAUCUAGUUCAAGUAAUAACACAACAGAAAGCCAGCAACAGAGAUAAAAUGGUCCAAUCCAAUUUGGCAAGCUAAUUUUUCUAAAGCCCAGAAAUUUAUUUUUGCAAGGUUAACUUUUUGGCUUGCUGUCAAGUUGUAGUAAAUCUCCAAGAUAUUGAUUGAUGCCUUCCCCAGAUCCAAUACUUUGCUGCUAUCUAUUUUUCAGACAACACGAGAAAGCUGCCACUGCUCCUGCCAACGACGCCAGCAAUUCAUCCAUCAAAAAGGAAUCAACAAACUCGGAGAGUGAUGACGUUGCAAGACCAGGAGCUACCAAGGAGUCGAGCUGGCAGCUGAGGUAGCCACGGAGAAAAAGACAUGUCGAAGGGGUGAAGGUGUUGAUUCAUCUUCCUCGUCGAUCUACUGCCAUGUUCACCGUAAUCCGAUUACCUCGAAAGAUAAUCCUCCGCCAGGAUUUUGCCAGUGGCUUCACACG